rnacentral:lncRNA from 1 species
AUGAAGAGAAUGAGGCACAACUGCUACAACAACGACAACAAGAAGCAGAAGAAGCCAAAGUUGAACUUGAUGACAGACGUCCUACCCAUGGAAAUUCUUAUUGACAUCUUUUCGAGACUACUGUAAAUUCGAUUUGUUGCAUCAAAUGUGUAUCUAAGGCCUUGUUAAAGACGGUUGACGACCCUUUUUUUGCUAUGCAACACAUGCGGCGUCGUUUUCUUACUAG